rnacentral:rRNA from 1 species
GGCGAACGGGUGAGUAAUGCAUCGGAACGUGUCCAUGUCGUGGGGGAUAGCCCGGCGAAAGCCGGGAUUAAUACCGCAUACGCCCGAGAGGGGAAAUGUGGGGGUAGCCGGCAAGGCUCACGCGAUUUGGAUCAGGCGAUGUCCGAUUUAGCCUAGUUGGCGGGGUAAGAGCCCACCAAGGCGAUGAUCAGGUGAGCUGGUCUGAGAGGAUGAUCAGCACACUGGGACUGAGACACUGGCCAGACUCCUACGGGAGGCAGCAGUGGGGAAUUUUGGAGCAAUGGGGGCAACCCUGAUCCAGCCAUUCCGCGUGAGUGAAGAAGGCCUUCGGGUUGUAAAGCUCUUUUGUCCGGAACGAAACGGUGGACGUGAAUAUCGUGCCACUACUAGACGGUACCGGAAGAAUAAGCACCGGCUAACUACGUGCCAGCAGCCGCGG